rnacentral:lncRNA from 1 species
CUCUCUCUCUCUUUUUUUUUUUCAUCUGAAAUCUCCAUUUUCCUUGCCGUUUGUAACUCCUGCAGGAUUUUUCUUAAAGCCUUCCCAUGGCACCGUUGUCUACACCGCACAAAAUGAAGCAGACCUCUUUCCUGGGGACGCGGGGAGCCGCGGGGUGCUGGAAAGGAAUGGGUGGAAGGCAGAAUGACGCCUGGACACGCUCCCAUUCUGUGACACAUAUGCCUGCAUCCUCAGGCUCCAGGCGACCGACGGUCGGUGUGGACAGCCUCACUCAUGUUUACCUGUUCGGGCCGCCAUUACUCACCUCUUCCCACACACCCCCACCCUGGCACACAAAGCCACGGAGUGACAAAACAAUUUUUUUUUUUUUUUAAAAAAACCUCCCCCCCCCAGCCCCAUUCUAAAAUGUCAAGCGUUUCGGUUUUGAGAAAAAAAGAAAGCUGAAGAAAGCAUGACUCAUGACAGGGCUGACAAACAACUAUCCGGAGGUAUGCUAGUGAGUCACGCUGUGGAGAUCUGCCUUUAUGUUGUGGAAAGGGCCCGGGAUGGAAGAAGCAUCAUGGGACCAGCCAGUAAAAUUCCACUACGCUCUGAAGCCCAUUUGGAGGUGAUUUCAAAACACUGGGCUUUUUCCGGCCCCGACCUGAUGGGAGGCUCUGGGUACCCUCAGGAACGGGGCCCAGAGAGCUUGAGUGACUUCUCGGGUGCACAGCACAGGUGGCCAGCCUGCAUCCAGGGCUCUCUGUUCAUGACACCAGGAACCAGGAACUUGCCAGCUUCUGACCCUCUCUUAUGAGUUCAUUCAUUCUGAAGACAGUUUUUUUCUGUUCCUCAGAACCAUCCGGUUGAGGUAAUUUGGUGACCGGCCACCCCAGUUUGCUCAGGACUGAGUGGUUUCCUGGGCUGGGGAUUUCCAGUUCUAAAACUGGGGAUGCCCUGGGCAAAUUACGAUGAGUUGAUCACCCUAUGUAAGGCCUUCCAUUGACACACAGUCACCUGUCCAG